GUGCUCCCUUCAGCAGCACAUAUACUAAAAAUGGAACAAUGCAGAGAAGAUCAGCAUGGCCCCUGCGCAAGGAUGGUGCCUCUGGAGUGGCUCCAAAAACUGCU